rnacentral:rRNA from 1 species
CUAAUACAUGCAAGUCGAACGAAGUCUUUANGAAGCUUGCUUCCAAAGAGACUUAGUGGCGAACGGGUGAGUAACACGUAGGUAACCUGCCCAUGUGCCCGGGAUAACUGCUGGAAACGGUAGCUAAAACCGGAUAGGUAUGAGGGAGGCAUCUUCCUCAUAUUAAAGCACCUUCGGGUGUGAACAUGGAUGGACCUGCGGCGCAUUAGCUGGUUGGUGAGGUAACGGCCCACCAAGGCGAUGAUGCGUAGCCGACCUGAGAGGGUGAACGGCCACAUUGGGACUGAGACACGGCCCAAACUCCUACGGGAGGCAGCAGUAGGGAAUUUUCGUCAAUGGGGGGAACCCUGAACGAGCAAUGCCGCGUGUGUGAAGAAGGUCUUCGGAUCGUAAAGCACUGUUGUAAGUGAAGAAUGCCAUAUAGAGGAAAUGCUAUGUGGGUGACGGUAGCUUACCAGAAAGCCACGGCUAACUACGUGCCAGCAGCCGCGGUAAUACGUAGGUGGCAAGCGUUAUCCGGAAUCAUUGGGCGUAAA